rnacentral:rRNA from 1 species
AAGUCGAGCGGUAGAGAGAAGCUUGCUUCUCUUGAGAGCGGCGGACGGGUGAGUAAUGCCUAGGAAUCUGCCUGGUAGUGGGGGAUAACGUUCGGAAACGGACGCUAAUACCGCAUACGUCCUACGGGAGAAAGCAGGGGACCUUCGGGCCUUGCGCUAUCAGAUGAGCCUAGGUCGGAUUAGCUAGUUGGUGAGGUAAUGGCUCACCAAGGCGACGAUCCGUAACUGGUCUGAGAGGAUGAUCAGUCACACUGGAACUGAGACACGGUCCAGACUCCUACGGGAGGCAGCAGUGGGGAAUAUUGGACAAUGGGCGAAAGCCUGAUCCAGCCAUGCCGCGUGUGUGAAGAAGGUCUUCGGAUUGUAAAGCACUUUAAGUUGGGAGGAAGGGUUGUAGAUUAAUACUCUGCAAUUUUGACGUUACCGACAGAAUAAGCACCGGCUAACUCUGUGCCAGCAGCCGCGGUAAUACAGAGGGUGCAAGCGUUAAUCGGAAUUACUGGGCGUAAAGCGCGCGUAGGUGGUUUGUUAAGUUGGAUGUGAAAUCCCCGGGCUCAACCUGGAAACUGCAUUCAAAACUGACUGACUAGAGUAUGGUAGAGGGUGGUGGAAUUUCCUGUGUAGCGGUAAAAUGCGUAGAUAUAGGAAGGAACACCAAGGGCGAAGGCGACCACAUGGACUAAUACUGACACUGAGGUGCGAAAGCGUGGGGAGCAAACAGGAUUAGAUACCCCUGGUAGUCCACGCCGUAAACGAUGUCAACUAGCCGUUGGAAGCCUUGAGCGUUUUGUGGCGCAGCUAACGCAUUAAGUUGACCGCCUGGGGAGUACGGCCGCAAGGUUAAAACUCAAAUGAAUUGACGGGGGCCCGCACAAGCGGUGGAGCAUGUGGUUUAAUUCGAAGCAACGCGAAGAACCUUACCAGGCCUUCACAUCCAAUGAACUUUGUAGAGAUAGAUUGGAGCCCUUGGGAACAUUGAGACAGGAGCUGCAUGGCUGUUGUCAGCUCGUGUCGUGAGAUGUUGGGUUAAGUCUCGUAACGAGCGCAACCCUUGUCCUUAGUUACCAGCACGUUAUGGUGGGCACUCUAAGGAGACUUCCGGUGACAAACCGGAGGAAGGUGGGGAUGACGUCAAGUCAUCAUGGCCCUUACGGCCUGGGCUACACACGUGCUUCAAUGGUCGGUACAGAGGGUUUCCAAGCCCCGAGGUGGAGCUAAUCCCAUAAAACCGAUCGUAGUCCGGAUCGCAGUCUGCAACUAGACUGCGUGAAGUCGGAAUCGCUAGUAAUCGCGAAUCAGAAUGUCGCGGUGAAUACGUUCCCGGGCCUUGUACACACCGCCCGUCACACCAUGGGAGUGGGUUGCACCAGAAGUAGUUAGUCU